CGGGGCGUAGUACAGCGGUAGUAUACGUGCUUUGGGAGCACGGGACCCGAGUUCGAUUCUCGGCGCCCCGA
rnacentral:tRNA from 1 species